rnacentral:rRNA from 1 species
CCUACGGGUGGCAGCAGUGAGGAAUAUUGGUCAAUGGACGAGAGUCUGAACCAGCCAAGUAGCGUGAAGGAUGACUGCCCUAUGGGUUGUAAACUUCUUUUAUAUGGGAAUAAAAUGUUCCACGUGUGGGAUUUUGUAUGUACCAUAUGAAUAAGGAUCGGCUAACUCCGUGCCAGCAGCCGCGGUAAUACUGAGGCUCCGAGCGUUAUCCGGAUUUAUUGGGUUUAAAGGGAGCGUAGGUGGAUUGGUAAGUCCGGUGUGAAAGUUUGCGGCUCAACCGGAAAAUUGCAGUUGAAACUGGCAGUCUUGAGUACAGUAGAGGUGGGCGGAAUUCGUGGUGUAGCGGUGAAAUGCUUAGAUAGCACGAAGAACUCCGAUUGCGAAGGCAGUUCACUGGACUGCAACUGACACUGAGGCUCGAAAGUGUGGGGAUCAAACAGGAUUAGAUACCCUAGUAGUC